GCCAGACUCCUACGGGAGGCAGCAGUGAGGAAUAUUGGUCAAUGGCCGCAGGGCUGAACCAGCCAAGUCGCGUGAGGGAUGACGGUCCUAUGGAUUGUAAACCUCUUUUGUCAGGGAGCAAAGGGCGCCACGUGUGGCGUUUUGCGAGUACCCGAAGAAAAAGCAUCGGCUAACUCCGUGCCAGCAGCCGCGGUAAUACGGAGGAUGCGAGCGUUAUCCGGAUUUAUUGGGUUUAAAGGGUGCGCAGGCGGAGGUGCAAGUCAGUGGUCAAAUUGCGGGGCUCAACCCCGUACUGCCGUUGAAACUGCAUCCCUUGAGUGCGCGAGAAGUAUGCGGAAUGCGUGGUGUAGCGGUGAAAUGCUUAGAUAUCACGAAGAACCCCGAUUGCGAAGGCAGCCUGCCGCAGCGUUACUGACGCUGAAGCUCGAAAGCGCGGGUAUCGAACAGGAUUAGAUACCCCAGUA
rnacentral:rRNA from 1 species